CAUGAAUGUUCAUUGGAUUUAAAAAGUUGACUCCUUAACAGGAUUGUUGCAAUUCUAUUACUAUCCCACCCACUUUCAUCCAAAAUACUCAUUGUUUUGUCUUCAAACUCCGAGUUUAUCCUUCGGAUAGCGAUUUAAACGGUCUCAAGACAUCGUUUAACUUUAUCCGCUCGAUAACCGAAAUUUAAUCGUACAAAAAAAUCGUACAACCGGUCCCAGAAGAAUAUG